UCAGUUUGAUAAAAGGAAAGUGUCCCCGAGAGCACUAUAUUUGUGAUUUUGUGCUGCCGUAUCAUUCGGAAGACGGUGACAUGAACUAGCUCUUUUGUCUAUCAUGAUGUUGGGAAAGAGCAACCAAUUUGUUAGAGAUGUUCUCUGUCCUGGUAGGAGCUUGCAUGACUUGGGGCAACCAUACAUACGUGUGCUCGAAAUGGAGAAUUGCUCCACGAGAGGAUUCAAGAGUGGAAGAGUAAGGGGUUUGAAGUGAAUGGCUCAGUUUGUUAUCUCACAUCUAAAUAUCAGAGGGAGGAGCUCAUAAAGAUUGUCUCAUCUGCUUUUCAUGGCUAGCUUUACAUCCUUUUAAGUUUAUUUCACUGUCGUUGUUAUCUUGUUUUCUAUGAAGCACGGAUACUUUA